CAGUCACUGGCUAUGGGGCCACCUGGGAGGGGUGUGUGAAUUCCCAGGCACUUGCAUCUCUGCAGGAGUGCAAGGGCGGGCCCCUGAAGUAGGUUUAAGUGAUCGCUCUUGGAGGUGAAGCAUAACGAAGCUGGGGGAGCAACAAGAAAUACCUUCAUCUUUUUAGAGAAGAGUGAAAUUGAAGCCAGAGAGGUUGGUUAACUUGCCCAAGAUCACAAAGCUUCCAAGAUGAAGAGCUGGGAUUUCAUUUCAGGUUUCCCAUCUGGCAACAUCCAAGCCCUUUCCAUAAUUCCACACUGUGAAUUUGCUUCCCAAACCAAGAGUGGGAUACAAUUAGCUGGGGAGUGCAACUCAUCCCUCAAUCACUGAUCUGAGUAUGGAUAUCAAAAGAAACAUUUCCUGAAGCAAGACGCUGAGCUGGAAGCUUCCACGGUUGUGCCUAUACUGUGGCAGUCCUGCGCGAACCUGUCCGGCCCCAUGGAAACCUGCAGGGCUGAGGUCUCCCAGGGCAAAUGGGGCUGCAGGAUGCUCACUACACCCCCAGAAACAGGAGAAGGGACAAGGACACAGGACUGUCUGUGAGCAACACUGACUUUCGGCACAGGAGAGAUCCUUUGCCCCUCCUCACUCCAGAAUAUUGCUAAGAACAUAAUUGAUCUCUCUCCUUCUCAUUCACUCACAUCUCCCAAAACAAAGGAAGAGAGACCCAUUCAACUGAUCAGAGCCUGACUUUCCAUUGCUGAGCCAUGUUUUACUACUGAGUGGGGCAACUGCUUUAAAAAUCCAUUUGUUGCUGCAUUUUCUUGCCAGCUAUUUCUUCAUUUACAGGGUUCUGAGAGGCCUGGCCUCUGCUUCCUCCGCCCAUCCAAUAAGUACCACCUGUCUGUUGAGGGGCUCAGUGGCUUCAAGGUUUCAACCCUGGCUACAUCAUGGAACCAUCUGGGGAGCUUUCCAAGUACUGAUGCCUGAACCUUAGUCACAGAUUAAUGGAAACCUGAGGAAUGGGGACCCAUGACCUGGAGUCUGUAAGGCUUCCCCAUUGAUGUGAUGCUUGGUGAAAUCUGUUUGGUUCAGUGUGGGUCGGUGUGAGUGAGUAACCAAGUGAGCUGAUCAUGUACGCUCUCCACAUAUGAUUUGUGGGGAAGACAAGGACAUUUAUUCUUUCAAUUGGUUCAUUCGACAACUACUUACUGAGCAACUACUAGAUGCCAGCCAUGGUUCUGAAUGCUGGGAAUAGAGUGGUAAAAAUGCAGAGGACAUGCAAAUUGAAACAACGGAAUACCACUACACGCCUACUGGAGUGAACAAAAUCCAAACACUGACAACUCCAAGUGCUGACGAGGAUGUGGAGGGAGCAGCAGGAACUCUCAUUCCUCCCUGGUGGGAAUCCAAAAUGGCACAGCCAUUUUGGAAAACAGAUUGGCAAUGUCUUAC
rnacentral:lncRNA from 1 species